rnacentral:rRNA from 1 species
UACCAGCACCCCGAGUGGUCGGGACGAUUAUUGGGCCUAAAGCAUCCGUAGCCGGUUCUACAAGUCUUCCGUUAAAUCCAACUGCUUAACAGAUGGGCUGCGGAGGAUACUAUAAGACUAGGAGGCAGGAGAGGCAAGCGGUACUCAGUGGGUAGGGGUAAAAUCCGUUGAUCCAUUGAAGACCACCAGUGGCGAAGGCGGCUUGCCAGAAUGCGCUCGACGGUGAGGGAUGAAAGCUGGGGGAGCAAACCGG